ACGUAGGGGGCAAGCGUUGAUCGGAAUCACUGGGCUUACAGCGCGUGUAGGCGGGGCAGCAGGUCUUCUGUGAAAGCCCCCGGCUCAACCGGGGAAUUGCUGGGGAAACCGCCGCUCUUGAGGCAGGUAGAGGUUACCGGAACGUGUGGUGGAGCGGUGAAAUGCGUAGAGAUCACGCGGAACGCCGAUGGUGAAGGCGGGUCACUGGGCCUGUCCUGACGCUGAGACGCGAGAGCGUGGGGAGCAAACAG
rnacentral:rRNA from 1 species